rnacentral:lncRNA from 1 species
UUUUCUUCGGUCAACCUGUAGAAAAAAGAACGGUGAACACAAUUGUGAAAAAAUCGCAUAAAAUAUGAAACGAGAAGGAGCUCAUCGGAGCGAUUUCGGGUUUUACCCGCGGCGGCGCCACUACACUUUACUCGCGAUUUUUUAAUCAUUCGCCGUUCUUUUUGCUCCAUUUGCCCAUGGGGGGUGCUUGAAAUCAAAUUCCGAGAGAAUAUAAGGAUUUUUACCUUUUUUAAACUGUUCAUCGCGUUUGAUCUCGACCAUCCGAUUGCGUUUAAAAAGAAAAUAAAUUUGGACCUUUCGUUGUAAUUUGAUCUCGACCGUAAGAUCGCGUUUAAAUAUGAAACAAAUAUGUACCAUUCAUCGCGUUUAAUCGCGACCGUCGGAUCACGCC